AACAAGACUCGAUAAUGCGACAACAAUCACAAUUUUCUCCACAAUAUAUAGGACAACACCCAAUUAUAUUGUUCAUCUCCACAUCAUUUGCAUUAUCAAGAAAACAUGCCCAUACACAAUUAAAUCAUAGCAUUCAUCAUCACCACAUCAACAUGAUCAUCAAUAAUCAACAAUGUCAUUCAACAUCAACUAUCACAUAUAGUUUCAC
rnacentral:lncRNA from 1 species